rnacentral:rRNA from 1 species
AUGCAGUCGAGCGGAAGGCCCUUCGGGGUACUCGAGCGGCGAACGGGUGAGUAACACGUGAGUAAUCUGCCCCAGGCUCUGGGAUAGCCACCGGAAACGGUGAUUAAUACCGGAUACGACAACUUCCUGCAUGGGAUGGUUGUGGAAAGUUUUUCGGCCUGGGAUGUGCUCGCGGCCUAUCAGCUUGUUGGUGAGGUAAUGGCUCACCAAGGCUUCGACGGGUAGCCGGCCUGAGAGGGUGACCGGCCACACUGGGACUGAGACACGGCCCAGACUCCUACGGGAGGCAGCAGUGGGGAAUAUUGGACAAUGGGCGGAAGCCUGAUCCAGCAACGCCGCGUGAGGGAUGACGGCCUUCGGGUUGUAAACCUCUUUCAGCACAGACGAAGCGCAAGUGACGGUAUGUGCAGAAGAAGGACCGGCCAACUACGUGCCAGCAGCCGCGGUAAUACGUAGGGUCCGAGCGUUGUCCGGAAUUAUUGGGCGUAAAGGGCUCGUAGGCGGUCUGUCGCGUCGGGAGUGAAAACCAGGUGCUUAACACCUGGCCUGCUUUCGAUACGGGCAGACUAGAGGUACUCAGGGGAGAAUGGAAUUCCUGGUGUAGCGGUGAAAUGCGCAGAUAUCAGGAGGAACACCGGUGGCGAAGGCGGUUCUCUGGGAGUAUCCUGACGCUGAGGAGCGAAAGUGUGGGGAGCGAACAGGAUUAGAUACCCUGGUAGUCCACACCGUAAACGUUGGGCGCUAGGUGUGGGAUCCAUUCCACGGGUUCCGUGCCGCAGCUAACGCAUUAAGCGCCCCGCCUGGGGGAGUACGGCCGC